GAUGAAGAACGUAGUGAAAUGCGAUAAGUAAUGCGAAUUGCAGAAUUCAGUGAAUCAUCGAAUCUUUGAACGCACAUUGCGCCCGCUAGUAUUCUGGCGGGCAUGCCUGUCUGAGCGUCAUUUCAACCCUCGCCCCCGGCUUUUGCUGGGAGCGGUGUUGGGGAUCGGCCGCCCGUCACUGGGAGGCCGGCCCCGAAAUAGAGUGGCGACCACGCCGUGUGCUCCUCUGCGUAGUAGUAAAUCACCUCGCAGGCGGACAGCGGUGCGGCCUGCCGUAAAACCCCCAACUCUUUCUGGUUGACCACAGAUCAGGUAGGAAUACCCGCUGAACUUAAGCAUAUCAAUAAGCGGAGGA
rnacentral:misc_RNA from 1 species